rnacentral:rRNA from 1 species
ACUCAAAUGAAUUGACGGGGACCCGCACAAGCGGUGGAGCGUGUGGUUUAAUUCGAGGCUACGCGAAGAACCUUACCAAGGCUUGACAUCCCAGUCGCCGGCCUAGGAAACUAGGCCUUCAUUUAGUUGGACUGGUGACAGGUGAUGCAUGGCCGUCGUCAGCUCGUGUCGUGAGAUGUCAGGUUAAGUCCUUUAACGAGCGCAACCCUCGUGGCUAGUUGUAUAUGUCUAGCCAGACUGCCUCGGCAACGGGGAGGAAGGAGGGGAUGAUGCCAGGUCAGCAUGUCCCUCACGCCUUGGGCGACACACACGCUACAAUGGCCGGUACAAUGGGCCGCUAAGUCGCGAGACGGAGCUAACCCCACCAAAGCCGGUCCCAGUUCGGAUUGUAGGCUGCAACUCGCCUGCAUGAAGUUGGAAUCGCUAGUAACCGUAGGUCAGCAUACUACGGUGAAUACGUUCCCGGGUCUUGUACACACCGCCCGU